UCAAGACCUUAUAUUACAUUUUCGAACAAAACAAAGUUCACCCGUACAAUGAACCCUUAAAUUCAGAGUGAACCAUUAAACCCACUUCAUUUUCUAGGAUCAAUCAAAGUAGAUUAUUAAAUAAAAAAAAUACUAAAUUAAAAAAUAGCUAAACAAGAAUGACUCCAAUACUAAUGAUGAUACUAGACACAAACUCUAGACCCUAUAUCCAAAUACUAUACCCUAAACCCAAAUACUAUCCAAACAAUAUACCCUAACUUAAAUCAUAUACCCUAAUCCCAAACCGUAAACCCUAAACCCAAAUCCUAUG
rnacentral:lncRNA from 1 species